rnacentral:rRNA from 1 species
GAUGAACGCUAGCUACAGGCUUAACACAUGCAAGUCGAGGGGCAGCAUGGUCUUAGCUUGCUAAGGCCGAUGGCGACCGGCGCACGGGUGAGUAACACGUAUCCAACCUGCCGUCUACUCUUGGACAGCCUUCUGAAAGGAAGAUUAAUACAAGAUGGCAUCAUGAGUUCACAUGUUCACAUGAUUAAAGGUAUUCCGGUAGACGAUGGGGAUGCGUUCCAUUAGAUAGUAGGCGGGGUAACGGCCCACCUAGUCUUCGAUGGAUAGGGGUUCUGAGAGGAAGGUCCCCCACAUUGGAACUGAGACACGGUCCAAACUCCUACGGGAGGCAGCAGUGAGGAAUAUUGGUCAAUGGGCGAGAGCCUGAACCAGCCAAGUAGCGUGAAGGAUGACUGCCCUAUGGGUUGUAAACUUCUUUUAUAAAGGAAUAAAGUCGGGUAUGGAUACCCGUUUGCAUGUACUUUAUGAAUAAGGAUCGGCUAACUCCGUGCCAG